AGCGAACGCUGGCGGCAGGCUUAACACAUGCAAGUCGAGCGGGCAUCUUCGGGUGUCAGCGGCAGACGGGUGAGUAACACGUGGGAACGUACCCUUCGGUUCGGAACAACUCUGGGAAACUGGAGCUAAUACCGGAUACGCCCUUAUGGGGAAAGGUUUACUGCCGAAGGAUCGGCCCGCGUCUGAUUAGCUAGUUGGUGGGGUAACGGCCUACCAAGGCGACGAUCAGUAGCUGGUCUGAGAGGAUGAUCAGCCACACUGGGACUGAGACACGGCCCAGACUCCUACGGGAGGCAGCAGUGGGGAAUAUUGGACAAUGGGCGCAAGCCUGAUCCAGCCAUGCCGCGUGAGUGAUGAAGGCCUUAGGGUUGUAAAGCUCUUUUGUCCGGGACGAUAAUGACGGUACCGGAAGAAUAAGCCCCGGCUAACUUCGUG
rnacentral:rRNA from 1 species